AAGGGUGCGUAACACGUGGGUAAUUUGCCGUGAAGUUGGGGAUAACUCGCUGAAAGGCGAGCUAAUACCGAAUGUGAAAGCCGGGAGGCAUCUCCUGGCUCUCAAAGCUGGGGACCGCAAGGCCUGGCGCUUUACGAUAAGCCCGCGGCCUAUCAGCUAGUUGGUGAGGUAACGGCCCACCAAGGCUAAGACGGGUAGCUGGUCUGAGAGGACGACCAGUCACACUGGAACUGAGACACGGUCCAGACACCUACGGGUGGCAGCAGUCGAGAAUUUUUCUCAAUGGGCGAAAGCCUGAAGGAGCGACGCCGCGUGGGGGAUGAAGGGCUUCGGCCCGUAAACCCCUGUCAUUUGCGAACAAACCUUGCGGUUUAACAGACCGCAAGCUGAUUGUAGCGGAAGAGGAAGGGACGGCUAACUCUGUGCCAGCAGCCGCGG
rnacentral:rRNA from 1 species